AUCAACGCUGGCGGCGCGCUUAACACAUGCAAGUCGCACGAGAAAGGGGGCAACCUGAGUACAGUGGCGUACGGGUGAGUAACACGUGGAUGAUCUACCUCUUAGUGGGAAUAACCCUGGGAAACCGGGGCUAAUACCGCAUAAGCUCUAGCGAGGAAAGCAGCAAUGCGCUGAGAGAGGAGUCCGCGGCCGAUUAGCUAGUUGGGAGGGUAAAAGCCUACCAAGGCAGAGAUCGGUAGCCGGCCUGAGAGGGCACACGGCCACACUGGCACUGAAACACGGGCCAGACUCCUACGGGAGGCAGCAGUGGGGAAUCUUGCACAAUGGGGGAAACCCUGAUGCAGCGACGCCGCGUGAGCGAUGAAGCCCUUCGGGGUGUAAAGCUCUUUCGGCAGGGAAGAUGAUGACGGUACCUGCAGAAGCAGCUGCGGCUAACUACGUGCCAGCAGCCGCGGUAAUACAUAGGCAGCGAGCGUUGUUCGGAGUUACUGGGCGUAAAGGGUGUGUAGGCGGUUGUUUAAGUUUGGUGUGAAAUCUCCCGGCUCAACUGGGAGGGUGCGCCGAAUACUGAAUGACUUGGAGUGCGGGAGAGGAGAGUGGAAUUCCUGGUGUAGCGGUGAAAUGCGUAGAUAUCAGGAGGAACACCGGUGGUGUAGACGGCUCUCUGGACCGUAACUGACGCUGAGACGCGAAAGCGUGGGUAGCAAACAGGAUUAGAUACCCUGGUAGUCACGCCCUAAACGAUGCAUAUUUGGUGUGGCAGUUCAUUCUGUCCGUGCCGGAGCUAACGCGUUAAAUAUGCCGCCUGGGGAGUACAGUCGCAAGGCUGAAACUCAAAGGAAUUGACGGGGGCCCGCACAAGCGGUGGAGCAUGUGGUUCAAUUCGACGCAACGCGAAGAACCUUACCUGGGCUCGAACGGCUGGUAACGGGGUAGGAAAUACCCUGUACCCGCAAGGGGAUCCAGCUGCGAGGUGCUGCAUGGCUGUCGUCAGCUCGUGUCGUGAGAUGUGGGUUAAGUCCCGCAACGAGCGCAACCCUUAUCCUAGUGUGCCAUGCCGCAAGGCCGGAACUCGAGUGAGACCGCCAGCGGAUAAGCUGGAGGAAGGUGGGGAUGACGUCAAGUCCUCAUGGCCUUUAUGUCCAGGGCUACACACGUGCUACAAUGGACGGUACAAUACCGUCGCUAACCAGCGAGGGGGAGCUAAUCGGAAAAACCGUUCCUCAGUUCGGAUUGGAGUCUGCAACUCGACUCCAUGAAGCUGGAAUCGCUAGUAAUCGCAGAUCAGCACGCUGCGGUGAAUACGUUCCCGGGCCUUGUACACACCGCCCGUCACAUCACGAAAGUGAGCUGUACUAGAGGUCGGUGAGCUAACCGCAAGGAGGCAGCCGCCCAAGGUACGGCCCAUGAUUGGGGUG
rnacentral:rRNA from 1 species